ensembl:misc_RNA Metazoa_SRP Metazoan signal recognition particle RNA
GCUGGGCGUGGUGGCUCACGCCUGUAAUCCCAGCACUUUGGGAGGCCGAGGUGGGAGGAUCACCUGAGGUCAGGAGUUCAAGACCAGCCUGGCCAACAUGGAGAAACCCCAUCUCUA